rnacentral:rRNA from 1 species
AUUGAACGCUGGCGGCAUGCCUUACACAUGCAAGUCGAACGGCAGCACGGGAGCAAUCCUGGUGGCGAGUGGCGAACGGGUGAGUAAUAUAUCGGAACGUGCCCGGUCGUGGGGGAUAACGUAGCGAAAGCUACGCUAAUACCGCAUACGAUCUACGGAUGAAAGCGGGGGGAUCGCAAGACCUCGCGCGAUUGGAGCGGCCGAUAUCAGAUUAGGUAGUUGGUGAGGUAAAGGCUCACCAAGCCGACGAUCUGUAGCUGGUCUGAGAGGACGACCAGCCACACUGGAACUGAGACACGGUCCAGACUCCUACGGGAGGCAGCAGUGGGGAAUAUUGGACAAAUGGGCGAAAGACCUGAUCCAGCCAUGCCGCGUGUGUGAAGAAGGUCUUCGGAUUGU